rnacentral:misc_RNA from 1 species
UCCGGUUUAACACCGGCAGUCUCCCUAGAGUCCCCAACUUAAUGGUGGUAACUAAGGACAGGGGUUGCGCUCGUUGCCGGACUUAACCGAACAUUUCACAACACGAGCUGACGACAGCCAUGCAGCACCUGUCUCCGUGUCCCCGAAGGGAAAGCUACAUCUCUGCAGUUGUCACGGGAUGUCAAGACCAGGUAAGGUUCUGCGCGUUGCUUCGAAUUAAACCACAUACUCCACCGCUUGUGCGGGCCCCCGUCAAUUCCUUUGAGUUUUAGCCUUGCGACCGUACUCCCCAGGCGGGAUACUUAAUGCGUGUGCUACGGUACUCAGAGGGUUAAUGCUCCGAACACCUAGUAUCCAUCGUUUACGGUGCGGACUAC